rnacentral:rRNA from 1 species
GACGAACGCUGGCGGCGUGCUUAACACAUGCAAGUCGAACGGAAAGGCCCUGCUUUUGUGGGGUGCUCGAGUGGCGAACGGGUGAGUAACACGUGAGUAGCCUGCCCUUGACUUUGGGAUAACUUCAGGAAACUGGGGCUAAUACCGGAUAGGAGCUCCUGCUGCAUGGUGGGGGUUGGAAAGUUUCGGCGGUUGGGGAUGGACUCGCGGCUUAUCAGCUUGUUGGUGGGGUAGUGGCUUACCAAGGCUUUGACGGGUAGCCGGCCUGAGAGGGUGACCGGCCACAUUGGGACUGAGAUACGGCCCAGACUCCUACGGGAGGCAGCAGUGGGGAAUAUUGCACAAUGGGCGGAAGCCUGAUGCAGCAACGCCGCGUGCGGGAUGACGGCCUUCGGGUUGUAAACCGCUUUCGCCUGUGACGAAGCGUGAGUGACGGUAAUGGGUAAAGAAGCACCGGCUAACUACG